rnacentral:rRNA from 1 species
UACGAAGGUCCCAAGCGUUAUCCGGAUUUAUUGGGUUUAAAGGGUGCGUAGGCGGACUAUUAAGUCAGUGGUGAAAGCCCCCAGCCUAACUGGGGAACUGCCAUUGAUACUGAUGGUCUUGAGUACAUUUGAGGUGGGCGGAAUGUGUCAUGUAGCGGUGAAAUGCUUAGAUAUGACACAGAACACCGAUUGCGAAGGCAGCUCACUAAACUGUAACUGACGCUGAGGAGCGAAAGCAUGGGGAGCGAACAGG